UACGGGGGGGGCAAGCGUUGUUCGGAAUUACUGGGCGUAAAGGGUGCGUAGGCGGCUACCUAAGUCGGAUGUGAAAGCCCCUGGCUUAACUGGGGAAGUGCACCCGAAACUGGGUAGCUAGAGUGCAAAAGAGGGUCGCGGAAUUCCCGGUGUAGAGGUGAAAUUCGUAGAUAUCGGGAGGAACACCGGUGGCGAAGGCGGCGACCUGGGUUGACACUGACGCUGAGGCGCGAAAGCGUGGGGAGCAAGCAGG
rnacentral:rRNA from 1 species